UGCCACGUCUCCAUGCGGUUUCCAGAUCCCACCGCUUUGACCAGCCAGAAGAUAUUUUCUACCUUCACCAAUCCUUUGCGUUGCGGUCACCUCAACCUCUCCUUCUCCUUGCACCCCCUCCGUUUCCUACCUUGGCCUGCCGUCAAUCCACCGCCGCCGUCACCUUCGCUUCCAUCAUAGCAUCAGAUAAGCGUCAGCUACCCGCUCCUGAAUCCCUGCCCGCAGCGCCCUCGACGGCAUGCCUCCCUCGCUGGCGCUGGACGGGGGGUUGGGAGGGGAAAUAGGAAUCCCCACGGCGUGAAGCACAUGAGGAGGUGAAAGCAAGCCAUGACAACGGCCACGCACGCGAGGGUGGAGGGGCACAUGCGGCUGCUGGUAGUGCACACCUCGGGUGCCGUAGGUCUUUCUGUGUAUUUGCGUCAGGCUGCUGCAGGAUGAGGGCCGAUGGUCGGAGAGGUCGAACUGCGCUGCAUUUGGCGCCGCCAUCAAGCAUAGCAUCGCAAGUAACAGGAAAUUACGGUGAGCUUGCCCCAGCAGUAAGACCACAUCAGCCCAGGGCGUCAUGCAAAGCCUAAGAAUCGGUUGUUCUCUACCAUACAUAGUAGGCCUAGAGGUUGCAGCCAGUCUGCCCUGUAGCUGUAUUGCCGGAUGGAUGGACCGAUUGCUUACGGCACGGUCCAAUGGCCUAAUGCUUACGUCGAGAUUUAUUGCACACGGUGGAAACUGGGAGCAUCACUCUCCUUGACUGGAAUCACAGUGGCCAGAUUAUAGAUCACACAAGCUGUUGGUGAGCUUUUCCUUUUGAUUUCUAAAUCUCUGGGUUAUAGGUCAACUCCCACUUUGUAGACUUUAUCUUUUGUGGCUCGAGAAAUUCUUUAUUCACCUGUAUGCUUUCUUUUGCAAAUUGCAUUCGCAAUCUCUAAUAGCCAAUUAAUGAGCACAUGAUCUGGUUCUGCUUUAGUACCCUCAAACUGUACAUUCACUUAGAUGCCUAUUGAAUAAUGAUUGCUUCAUCUUCUUAUAUCAUUUUCCUUUCAAAUUGUGCUUCACAAAUAGUAGUAAAAAAAGACUACCAUUUACUCAGACCAUGCUUUCAGUUCCACGCCUAUUGACUAAUGAUUGCUUCUUCAAGCAUGGAAAUCCCUGUGCUGACGGUGCUUGCAAAUAUUUUCAGCCAUUCAAUAUGUGAUGUAAGGUACAGGGGAGUAUGCACGUCCCCAUUGGGAGAGAUCCCCGCUUUUAAACUUUUUGGUUUAAAAUUCAGAUCUCUCGAGUUCAGUAAAAUUCGUGGUAAAGAAAGUCAUACGAUGUACAAUUUUUAGUGUAAAUCUCUGUUGGAAAAAAAAAAGCAGUUAGUACAGAAGGAAUAUAUCGUGCUUUUUGUUAUAACAAUGUUUAUGAUAUUUUGUUGCAGAGAAUAAAGGGGUUGUAAGAUAUGUGGCAUAAUGCAAUACAUAUAACAAACAAUGAAAUCUUGGCUAAUUAAAGAGUUUUUUAGCCGUGGUGUAUGAGGCUUGAAGGCUUCUUCACAAGAUUGUAGAAGGUCCUGAAUUUGUUAAUGAUAGAAAUGAAAUGCUCCCAUAAUUGUUCAAGGAUUCCUCCGUAGUAUCAUUGUUCUCAAAGCUAAGAACCUUACUUUGUUAUUGAAGUGAGAAUUUUUUAUCUCUUGAAUUAAUGCUGAUGAAGAAUUGUAAUUCCAAUAUUAUUUAUAAAUGCAUUCUAAGAUUAUCUAUUAAUGAAA